CCUACGGGCGACAGCAGUCGAGAAUCAUUCACAAUGGGGGAAACCCUGAUGGUGCGACGCCGCGUGGGGGAAUGAAGGUCUUCGGAUUGUAAACCCCUGUCAUGUGGGAGCAAAUUAAAAAGAUAGUACCACAAGAGGAAGAGACGGCUAACUCGGUGCCAGCAGCCGCGGUAAUACAGAGGUCUCAAGCGUUGUUCGGAAUCACUGGGCGUAAAGCGUGCGUAAGCUGGUUCGUAAGUCGGGUGUGAAGGCGCGGGGCCAACCCGCGGAGGGCAGAUGAAACUGCGAGACUAGAGUAGUGGAGGGGGAAGCGGAAUGCGCGGUGUAGCAGUGAAAUGCGUAGAUAUCGAGAGGAACACUCGUGGCGAAGGCGGGUUCCUGG
rnacentral:rRNA from 1 species